rnacentral:tRNA from 1 species
AAUGAAGUGCCUGAAAAAGGAUUAUCUUGAUAGGAUAAAUUAUGUAGACACGAAUAUUUACCUUCAUU